rnacentral:lncRNA from 1 species
GUUCGAGCAGCAGGAUUGUUUUUAAAUUUAGCAAUUAUGUUAAUCAUGUAAAUGAUGUUAUGUUUUCUGUUUUUUGCUUGUUGAAGUUUUUAAAAUUGACAAAUAAUGCUAGCAAGGGAGAUUAUUCAUUAAUAUUUUUAUGAUGCCAAACUUGAAAUUUAAAGGUGCAUAUGUUUGCUGUUUGUUAAAACCCUAGUCUUAUGAUUCUUAAACAAUCUAUACAAGUAAGCACGUUGAUUUAUCACUAACCAUUAUUUUAUUGAUUAGUUUGAAUUUGAUGAGGUUCUUUGAUUUAGAACUCAGGACUUAUUUAAACAAAAAAGAUUUUUUUUAUUUGUUUGAUAGUAAAAUUGUAUAACAAACAUUUUGACAUUUUAUUUUAAUUUAUCACCAAAACAACUCUAUUUGUCAUCUGAGUAAACUUAAUUUGUUAGAUACUUUGUUUCUUUUAUUGAAGUAUAUACAAAGGGAGAUAAUUCAAAAUUGUUUUUUAUUAUUCUGACCUGAUUAGAAGUGAUGAAAAUAACUAUGCCAAAGACAGGAUGGCAAUAAUGCUGGAAAUUGUUGUGUAUGGUCAUGCUUUGUCCAAAAGUUUUUGUUAUCUUCUGUAUUAUAUAUUGCCGCAAUUGUCAAAAUCCAAAUCACACAUAGCGAUAGCCUUGUCCUAUAGUUUAUAUCUGGUGUUUGUGUUUUUUGUGUGUCUUAGAUUCUAACCCUUCAAGUUCUUAUACAAAUUCAGGUGCCAUUCUUUACAUAUAGGUAAAGGCAUACUUACAAAAUGGUAUUGAACUUUGCAAAUAAAUGACGAGUAUUCUUUGGAUUGCAGUUUAAGUUUCAUCUUAAAAAUACAGUCUUCGAUGUUACUGACAAAUUAUACAUUUGCACAUUGCCAUUUGAAACCACAAAUAUUAUUUUACUGUAAAUAAACAGAGCAGCAAUCCAUGCCUUUCAAGUCUUAUACUUUGUAAAAAUGGAUCAGAAAAGUUGGAGGAUCAAUUUUAUUUGUUCAGUAGCAACAAAGUUAUAAUCAUUGAAACUUCCUGUUUUUCCUAAUUUUUAUUUUAUAUUUAAUUAGAUAUUUCCAAACCAGAUAUUUGGGUUAAAGUAAAAAAAAAAAA